GCCUUUCAAGGAGGAGCAGGCGCGCAAUUACCCAAUCCUGACUCAGGGAGGUAGUGACAAGAAAUAACAAUAAACCGGCUUAUGCCGGUUUAAUUGGAAUGAGUACAAUUUAAACAUCUUAACGAGGAACAAUUGGAGGGCAAGUCUGGUGCCAGCAGCCGCGGUAAUUCCAGCUCCAAUAGCGUAUACUAAAGUUGUUGCAGUUAAAAAGCUCGUAGUUGGAUUUCUGUGGGGACGGAGCGGCCGGCCGCACAUCGCGGUUCGAGCUAGCGCUUUCCCUACAUCCUGCCGCGAACCGUGCUACCAUUAAUUUGGUGGCGCUGGGGAUCGGCUCGAUUACUUUGAGAAAAAUAGAGUGUUCAAAGCAGGCCACAUGCCUUGAAUAAGUUAGCAUGGAAUAAUAACUAAGGACUUCGGUUCUAUUUUGUUGGUGUUCGGGACUGAAGUAAUGAUUGAUAGGGACAGUUGGGGCGGUCUGUAUUCCAAAGCGAGAGGUGAAAUUCUUAGACCUUCGGAAGACAAACAGCUGCGAAAGCGUUCCGCAAGGAUGUUCCCUUUGAUCAAGAACGAAAGUUGGGGGAUCGAAGACGAUCAGAUACCGUCGUAGUCUCAACUAUAAACUAUACCAGCUAGGGAUCGGCCAACGUUAUUUCAAACCGACUUGGUCGGCACCUUAUGAGAAAUCAAAGCAUCUGGGUUCCGGGGGGAGUAUGGUCGCAAGGCUGAAACUUAAAGGAAUUGACGGAAGGGCACCACCAGCCGUGGAGCCUGUGGCUUAAUUUGACUCAACACGGGAAAACUUACCAGGUCCAGACAUAGUAAGGAUUGACGGAUUGAUAGCUCUUUCUUGAUUCUGUGGGUGGUGGUGCAUGGCCGUUCUUAGUUGGUGGAGUGAUUUGUCUGGUUAAUUCCGUUAACGAACGAGACCCCAGCCUGCUAAAUAGCGCGCGUGAGCUUUGCUCGCGGCGAGCUUCUUAGAGGGACUAUGAUGCGCGAUAGCACAUGGAAGUUUGGGGCAAUAACAGGUCUGUGAUGCCCUUAGAUGUUCUGGGCCGCACACGGGCUACACUGGCGCCUGCAACGAGCAUAUCAGCUGGUCCGAGAGGGUCUUGGCUAAUCUUUUGAACCGGCGCCGUGCUUGGGAUUGACCUUUGCAAUUGUUGGUCAUGCAACGAGGAAUGCCUUGUAAACGCGAGUCAUCAGCUCGCAUUGAAUACGUCCCUGCCCUUUGUACACACCGCCCGUCACUCCUACCGAUGAAUGUUCCGAUGAAAUUUUCGGAGAGCACCUGUGAACUUGGCUCUGCCUUGCGAACGGGAGGCUCAAAGUCACAUAAAUCUGAACAUUAAA
rnacentral:rRNA from 1 species